GCCUUAGUAGCUUAGUCUAAAAGCGCCGGUUUUGUAAUCCGGAGAUCGAAGGUUAAAAUCCUUCCUAGUGCC
rnacentral:tRNA from 2 species